GUAGUCCACGCCGUAAACGUUGGGAACUAGGUGUGGGUCUCAUUCCACGAGAUCUGUGCCGCAGCUAACGCAUUAAGUUCCCCGCCUGGGGAGUACGGCCGCAAGGCUAAAACUCAAAGGAAUUGACGGGGGCCCGCACAAGCGGCGGAGCAUGUGGAUUAAUUCGAUGCAACGCGAAGAACCUUACCAAGGCUUGACAUGUACCGGAAACAUCCAGAGAUGGGUGCCCCGCAAGGUCGGUACACAGGUGGUGCAUGGUUGUCGUCAGCUCGUGUCGUGAGAUGUUGGGUUAAGUCCCGCAACGAGCGCAACCCUCGUUCCAUGUUGCCAGCAGGCCCUUUUAGGGUGCUGGGGACUCAUGGGAGACUGCCGGGGUCAACUCGGA
rnacentral:rRNA from 1 species